UUUCACGUCGCCUCUGAAGUUGGGAAGUUUACUUCAACAGUUAGAAUGCGUUUAGUCCUUCUGGUGGUGUGUGGCCCCCAGUCAUCCUCACUUCAAUGCAAGGACACGUUGAGUUUGAAGACGUAGGUAAUUCAAUCAGGCCAUGAACUUGAUGGCGGUCUCAGGCGCUAUCUUCAGGACGUUGACUCCGUUCCCCCGCCACAGUGACCUCAAGCCUCCUUCCCUGAUCAUCUGCCUGAAGCCCCCUACCAA